GGUAUCAUUAAAUACUACAUGGUAUAUAUAUAAACAAAAAUGUAUAAGCCGAAAAGGGCGGGAAAGGAUAUGUGCAUGUGCCAAUUUAAUAUAGAAUGCCUUGAAAGAGCACUUUUUUUCUCAUCAUAGACAUAGUGCAGAUUUAUUUUCUCACUAUAAAAUUAAACUAAUAUUUCUGAUCAUACAUGUUUAAAGUGCCUAUGCAACGAAAUUUUCACCUCAUUUUUUAUCGUUUUUC